rnacentral:rRNA from 1 species
CGAUGGGUAGCUGGUCUGAGAGGACGAUCAGCCACACUGGAACUGGAACACGGUCCAGACUCCUACGGGAGGCAGCAGUGAGGAAUAUUGCGCAAUGGGGGAAACCCUGACGCAGCGAUGCCGCGUGAGUGAAGAAGGCCUUCGGGUCGUAAAGCUCUGUCAAGUGGGAAGAACAGCAGCGGGACGAAUAAUCCCGUUGUGUGACGGUACCACUGAAGGAAGCACCGGCUAACUCCGUGCCAGCAGCCGCGGUAAGACGGAGGGUGCAAGCGUUAUUCGGAUUUAUUGGGCGUAAAGAGCGUGUAGGCGGCCGGCCAAGCCAGAUGUGAAAGCCCAGGGCUUAACCCUGGAAGUGCAUUUGGAACUGGUUGGCUUGAGUUCGGGAGAGGGAAGUGGAAUUCCGGGUGUAGAGGUGAAAUUCGUAGAUAUCCGGAGGAACACCGGUGGCGAAGGCGACCUCCUGGACCGAAGCUGACGCUGAGACGCGAAAGCGUGGGGAGCAAACAGGAUUAGAUACCUUGGUAGUCC